UGCCCUACGGGAGGCAGCAGUGGGGAAUAUUGCACAAUGGGGGGAACCCUGAUGCAGCGACGCCGCGUGGGUGAAGAAAUCAUUCGUGACGUAAAGCCCUAUCAGCAGGGAAGAAAAUGACGGUACCUGACUAAGAAGCCCCGGCUAACUACGUGCCAGCAGCCGCGGUAAUACGUAGGGGGCAAGCGUUAUCCGGAUUUACUGGGUGUAAAGGGAGCGUAGACGGCGGCGCAAGUCCGGAGUGCAAGCCCACGGCCCAACCGUGGGACUGCCCUGCAAACGCUGCGGCUGGAGUGCGGGAGGGG
rnacentral:rRNA from 1 species